CUGGCCCUGUGGGGCCUGUAUGCCUGUCGUGAUUUACUUGAGGACCUUUGUCAAUUGGCUGAAGGAGUGAGGUGGUGCUGGAACAGUUGGAAUGAUGGAAAGGGCGGAGGUCCACUAGGGGAGAUGGUGGUACCAUUUCUCUCCUUCCUUAUGGACUGUGGAGUUUUCCUUUUCUUUAAACAUUUGUCUGAGGGAAGCAGAAUUUCAGCAAAACUACAGAUGCCAUCUUCACAAGUAGAGGAGCAUGUCAGCACAGAUUAAGCAGCUUCAGGGAAGAGAAGUCUCUCCGGACACCUCAAGAGCUCCAAGCAGUAAAGCAAGACUCAUCGUGACCUUCAUCAGACUCAUCACUCGCUAGCUCAGACCUAUAAUUUAUUUAGAGCAUCCUCUGUGGGGAGGACUGUCUCAGCUAUUUAGUAAUAGAAUAUGGAAAUUUAAACACUGCGAGCUGUGCUGCUCGGAGCCAGAUGACUGUGCUGGAGACAUUUGGCAAAACUGGAGACAUCGGAGAUUGUAAUGACUGAGGAACUGCUACUGCGAAGAGGCCAAGGAUACUGCUAAACAUCCCAUAAUGCAAAGGACGGCACUUUCUCCCAUCUGCCUCUACUACAGAGAAUCAUCCCCACCCAGCUCAGAAUGUCAGCAAUGCUGAGGGUGAGAAACCUCACUUUACUAGCUGAUCCUAAUAAAGUUUCUAAAUCUCUUCUAAGAAGAAAGGUCCAUAUAAGGAAUAAAUUCAUCAAAAUUUAAAAAAAUAUAGGAACACUGAAGUGAUUUCUCAAUAUCCUUUGACCAACAGCUGGAGAAAGGUGGUUUACUCAACUGGUCCUCAGACAUAACUGCAAAUCAAAGUCAUUUGAAAUUGAUUUUCUCAACCUCAAGUGCAUAAUUCAUCAGCUACCUACCCACCGCAGCGAUUCUGAUUCUCUCAGGAAAUGUGGGCAUUAUAAAAACUUUUUAAAGACAUUAUGAUUUUCAGCCUCUCAGGAAAUCACUGACCAAGUAACUUGCCCAUCUUAUAUGUUUUUAAUAGACAAAACAGAUAUUUGAACAAAGUGGUCAUAUGGACUGGUUGGCUAUGAACUUUAACACUGUUGAUCUGUAGAAUUUCAAUAUUUUUCCAUGGCCACAUAUUAAACCUUAAGUUCAACACUGCAGAGAAUCCCUAGGUGUUGCUGGAUCUAUGAAAGCAAAGUGAAAUCCUAGUUCUCUCUUCUGUGAAUGUUUGCCUUUUGAAAGCAGCAGUUUCCCUUGAGCGAGUCUGCUGCCCUGCUUACAUAGUAAAAUGCAGAAAGCAAAUCACUGAUCUUUACCUUCUUCCAUUCUUGGUCAGUAAACUCAUAACUACGGAAUGUUGGUUUGUUUGACUGUAUUCUGAAAUGUGCCAGCAGCAAUGUCCAUGAUUAAAUGCAUCUCAUGGAUCUGAGCAUCUCACAAGAAAAUGAAAUAGGACAAAAUUCUCACGCUGGUCUUCCUUUCCUAACUGGAAAUUCAUUCUUCAGAGGGAAGGAAGACAAAUGCAAAUAAAA